GUCGAACGAGAAAGUGGAGCAAUCCAUGAAGUACAGUGGCGUACGGGAUGAGUAACACGUGGGUAAUCUACCUUUUAGUGAGGAAUAACCCUGGGAAACCGGGGCUAAUACCGCAUAAGCCUGAGAAGGGAAAGCAGCAAUGCGCUGAAAGAGGAGCCCGCGGCCGAUUAGCUAGUUGGUGAGGUAAGAGCCCACCAAGGCAGAGAUCGGUAGCCGGCCUGAGAGGGCACACGGCCACACUGGCACUGAAACACGGGCCAGACUCCUACGGGAGGCAGCAGUGGGGAAUCUUGCACAAUGGGGGAAACCCUGAUGCAGCGACGCCGCGUGAGCGAUGAAGCCCUUCGGGGUGUAAAGCUCUUUCGUCAGGGAAGAUAGUGACGGUACCUGGAGAAGCAGCUGCGGCUAACUACGUGCCAGCAGCCGCGGUAAUACGUAGGCAGCAAGCGUUGUUCGGAGUUACUGGGCGUAAAGGGUGUGUAGGCGGUUCUUUAAGUUUGGUGUGAAAUCUCCCGGCUCAACUGGGAGGGUGCGCCGAAUACUGAGGGACUAGAGUACGGGAGAGGAAAGUGGAAUUCCUGGUGUAGCGGUGAAAUGCGUAGAUAUCAGGAGGAACACCGGUGGCGUAGACGGCUUUCUGGACCGUAACUGACGCUGAGACACGAAAGCGUGGGUAGCAAACAGGAUUAGAUACCCUGGUAGUCCACGCCCUAAACGAUGCAUAUUUGGUGUGGGCAGUUCAUUCUGUCCGUGCCGGAGCUAACGCGUUAAAUAUGCCGCCUGGGGAGUACAGUCGCAAGGCUGAAACUCAAAGGAAUUGACGGGGGCCCGCACAAGCGGUGGAGCAUGUGGUUCAAUUCGACGCAACGCGAAGAACCUUACCUGGGCUCGAACGGCUUCUCAAC
rnacentral:rRNA from 1 species